UUGAUGCUUCAAGCCGGAGCAUUUCUGUCCAACGGCGAAUCAUUCACAGUAUUCCAGAGCGGGAAAAAAUAAGAGAAGGAAAAAAGAAAGAAAGAAAGAUAAGUAGCGAGACCAACGGGUUUUUUUUUCACUGAAGUCCCAAGCCGUCACUGCUCUCACAACUCUCUGUCCCUUACUUUUGAACUUAAUUGCACAGACUCGUUCUCCUCUGCCUGCGCCGAGCCGCCCGAAGUCAAAGUAACAGUGGCGGCAAUGUGUUUCAACUCCUGGCACGAAGAGAGGUUUCACCUUGAACGAAGCACUCACUAAAAGUAUUAUGGGGAGAAGCUUCUAAACCUCGAUGUGAUUCCUUUGGGUCAAGGCAUGCAGUACAAGAUGCAAGGCAAGGUCGUAUUGUCUACAUUAUUUGUUGUGCUCGUGUAUAGCAAGGUUUUGUCUCAUGGGUGGAGGCAGAAUGUUGUGGCAUUUAUCAGCCAAAUAUUGUCCACUAUUACCUCCUCCAAGGUCAACUAUUGCAGCAACCUUCAGCUCCGAUGGAAGAACGGUUGCUUCUAUGCAGUGAGAUUCCAUUAUAGUCUAUCUUAUACCUUAUAAAGGUUAGGUUUCAUCCCUUAUAUCCUGAAAUACUUGUGAGUGGAAGCUUGGAUCAUGAAGUUCGUUUGUGGGAUGCUAAUACUGCAGUGUAUAGGAUCACAUGAUCUUUAUCGUCCUAUCGCUUCUAUUGAGUUCCAUGCAUGGGGGGAGCUUCUUGCUGUGGCUUCAGGUCACAAGGUCAAUGACCUUGACUCAUCAGAUUGCUCAAAGACACUUGCAACUUCUCCAGGUUACUUGCAUUAUCCUCCACCCACUGUAUACUUGGCUGAUGUUCAUUCCAGUGGUCUUCCUUGUUUGGAAGAUGAACUUCCUCUUAUGUCUUCACACUUUUUGGUGUGGCCUUCAUUUGCUAAAGAUUAUGGGAGAACAUCUUUGCAGCCUACAUAUGGGGGGAUGCAGGUUUGGCUAGUGUGCAACAGAGAGUGGAUCCUUCUGCUUCAGUGCGGCCUCUGAGAUAUUCCACUCUAUCAGGCCAGUAUGAACUUUUAUUGUCUCCUAUUGAUCCUAAUAACUCAUCACCUGUGCCAGAGGAUACGGGAAAUGAUUCUUUAAUGAGUGAAACAGAUGAUGCAAUUCCUCAAUCUGCUAUGGAUGCCAUGGAGAUGGUGGAAGUGCAUCCGAAAGAGAGAAAUGAUCACUUCUUUCCUUUUGGUGAUGCAAUGUAUUGGGAGCUACCUACCCACCCACGGGUAGCCCAAGUGGUAAGGGUGAACUAUUAUGCACAAGCCCCAUGUCACAGGUUCGAUUCCCCCUGGGAUCAAAUUGUGAUUUAAGUGGGAGGUCAUAGCGGUGGGUUGUUGUGCUAGCUCCCCGGGAGUUUAGGUUUCAUGGGUGAGUCCUAAGGGCUCUGCCGUGGGGUGGUUCCCUUGCCAUUUAAAAAAAAUGUAUUGGGAGCUACCUUCCUUGCCGGGGUGGUUAAUUGGACAGAGUCAAGCUGCGGAAUGCACCAUGGGCUCAGUCAAUGCUUCAGCCCAUGAGAGUUUAUCAACAUUUAGUGAAAUGAAAAAUCUUAUGGCUCCUUCAGUUAUGCCGAUCAGUGUCAGCCAAUCUAGAGUUACUGGAAGAUCUAGUUCCCAUCAGCAUUCUUUACAUUCUCGCAUAAGGUCCAGAUUGGAUCCAAUGAAGGUUUUAACUUCAAUCACAUUCCAUGUGAUGGAAGUGAUCCUCAGCUCCCUAC